rnacentral:rRNA from 1 species
GUAGGUGGCAAGCGUUGUCCGGAAUUAUUGGGCGUAAAGCGCGCGCAGGCGGUCCUUUAAGUCUGAUGUGAAAGCCCACGGCUCAACCGUGGAGGGUCAUUGGAAACUGGGGGACUUGAGUACAGAAGAGGAAAGCGGAAUUCCAAGUGUAGCGGUGAAAUGCGUAGAGAUUUGGAGGAACGCCAGUGGCGAAGGCGGCUUUCUGGUCUGUAACUGACGCUGAGGCGCGAAAGCGUGGGGAGCAAACAGGGAUUAGAUACCCUGGUAGUCCACGCCGUAAACGAUGAGUGCUAAGUGUUAGGGGGUUUCCCGCCCCUUAGUGCUGCAGCUAACGCAUUAAGCACUCCGCCUGGGGAGUACGGCCGCAAGGCUG